rnacentral:rRNA from 1 species
UACGUAGGGGGCAAGCGUUGUCCGGAUUUAUUGGGCGUAAAGCGUGUGUAGGCGGCCAGAUAGGUCUGCUGUGAAAACUCGAGGCUCAACCUCGAGCUGUCGGCGGAAACCAUCUGGCUAGAGUCCGGAAGAGGCGAGAGUGGAAUUCCUAGUGUGAGCGGUGAAAUGCGCAGAUAUCAGGAAGAACACCUAUGGCGAAGGCAGCUGCUCUGGGACGGUACUGACGCUGAGACGCGAAAGCGUGGGGAGCGAACAGG